rnacentral:rRNA from 1 species
AUUGAACGCUGGCGGCAGGCCUAACACAUGCAAGUCGAACGGGUGGCGGACGUGUGAGUAAUGUAUGGGAAACUGCCUGAUGGAGGGGGCUAACUACUGGAAACGGUAGCUAAUACCGCAUACCAUCGGAUGUGCCCAGAUGGGAUUAGCUAGUAGGUGGGGUAAAGGCUCACCUAGGCGACGAUCCCUAGCGGGUCUGAGAGGAUGACCAGCCACACUGGAACUGAUACACGGUCCAGACUCCUACGGGGGGCAGCAUUGGGGAAUAUUGCACAAGUGGCGCAAGCCUGAUGCAGCCAUGCCGCUUGUAUGAAGAAGGCCUUCGGAUUGUAAAGUACUUUCAGCGGGGAGGCGUUACCAGCAGAAGAAGCACCGGCUAACUCCGUGCCAGCCGCCGCGGUAAUUC